rnacentral:rRNA from 1 species
AUUGAACGCUGGCGGCAGGCUUAACACAUGCAAGUCGAACGAGUGGCGGACGGGUGAGUAAUGCUUGGGCAUCUAGCUUAUGGAGGGGGAUAACUACGGGCAACUGUAGCUAAUACCGCGUACCAUAGGAUGAGCCCAAGUGGGAUUAGGUAGUUGGUGGGGUAAAGGCUCACCAAGCCGACGAUCCCUAGCUGGUCUGAGAGGAUGACCGGCCAAACUGGGACUGGGACAGGGCCCAGACUCCUACGGGAGGCAGCAGUGGGGAAUAUUGCGCAAUGGGGGAAACCUGACACCGCCAUGCCGCGUGAAUGAAGAAGGCCUUCGGGUUGUAAAGUUCGUUCGGUAGCGAGGCGUUAACUACAGAGGAAGCACCGGCUAACUCCGUGCCAGCAGCCGCGGUAAUUC